UCCCUAGUGGCUCAGUUGGUAAAGAAUCUGCUUGCAAUGCAGAAGACCCAGGUUCGAUCCCUGGGUUGGGAA